AACGAACGCUGGCGGCAUGCCUAAUACAUGCAAGUCGAACGAGACCUUCGGGUCUAGUGGCGCACGGGUGCGUAACGCGUGGGAAUCUGCCCUUGGGUUCGGAAUAACAGUUGGAAACGACUGCUAAUACCGGAUGAUGACGUAAGUCCAAAGAUUUAUCGCCCAGGGAUGAGCCCGCGUAGGAUUAGCUAGUUGGUGAGGUAAAGGCUCACCAAGGCGACGAUCCUUAGCUGGUCUGAGAGGAUGAUCAGCCACACUGGGACUGAGACACGGCCCAGACUCCUACGGGAGGCAGCAGUAGGGAAUAUUGGACAAUGGGGGCAACCCUGAUCCAGCAAUGCCGCGUGAGUGAUGAAGGCCUUAGGGUUGUAAAGCUCUUUUACCCGGGAUGAUAAUGACAGUACCGGGAGAAUAAGCCCCGGCUAACUCCGUGCCAGCCGCCGCAGUAAUAC
rnacentral:rRNA from 1 species